UACGGAGGAUGCAAGCGUUAUCCGGAAUGAUUGGGCGUAAAGGGUCCGCAGGUGGCAAUGUAAGUCUGCUGUCAAAGAAUGAGGCUUAACCUCAUCAAGGCAGUGGAAACUACAUAGCUAGAGUACGGUCGGGGUAGAAGGAAUUCCUGGUGUAGCGGUGGAAUGCGCAGAUAUCAGGAGGAACACCAACGGCGAAGGCAGCUCGCUGGGACGGUACUGACGCUGAGGCGCGAAAGCGUGGGGAGCGAACAGG
rnacentral:rRNA from 1 species